rnacentral:rRNA from 1 species
AGCGAACGCUGGCGGCAGGCCUAACACAUGCAAGUCGAACGAAGCCUUCGGGCUUAGUGGCGGACGGGUGAGUAACACGUGGGAACGUACCUUUUGGUUCGGAACAACUCAGGGAAACUUGAGCUAAUACCGGAUGAGCCCUUAGGGGGAAAGAUUUAUCGCCGAAAGAGCGGCCCGCGUUAGAUUAGCUAGUUGGUGAGGUAAAGGCUCACCAAGGCUACAAUCUAUAGCUGGUCUGAGAGGAUGAUCAGCCACACUGGGACUGAGACACGGCCCAGACUCCUACGGGAGGCAGCAGUGGGGAAUCUUGCGCAAUGGGCGAAAGCCUGACGCAGCCAUGCCGCGUGAAUGAUGAAGGUCUUAGGAUUGUAAAAUUCUUUUACCAGGGACGAUAAUGACGGUACCUGGAGAAAAAGCCCCGGCUAACUUCGUGCCAGCAGCCGCGGUAAUAC